GAUGAACGCUGGCGGCGUGCCUAACACAUGCAAGUCGAGCGAAGCACUUUGCUUGGAUUCUUCGGAUGAAGAGGAUUGUGACUGAGCGGCGACGGGUGAAGUAACGCGUGGGUAACCUGCCUCAUACAGGGGGAUAACAGUUAGAAACGACUGCUAAUACCGCAUAAUAUACAGAGGGGGCAUCCCAUUUGUAUCAAAGGAGAAAUCCGCUGAAAGAUGGGCUCACGUCUGAUUAGCUGGUUGGUGGGGUAAAGGCCUACCAAGGCUGCGAUCAGUAGCCGGACUGAGAGGUUGAACGGCCACAUUGGGACUGAGAUACGGCCCAG
rnacentral:rRNA from 1 species